GUGUAAACAAGUGGAAGUAUAGUGGUAAGGUGCUUUGAUGCCGGAGACGUCGUGUGAAGAGGGAAAAGCCUAAGGACCCAACCUGACGUUAACAGUUACUGUGGACUGUGGGUGAAGUCAAGUGUUGAGCUGACAAUGACAAGGGGUGGAGGGUGUCAGCACAUCAAACAGAUGUGGUGACUCGAGACAGGGAAUUUUGAGAUUUGCUCAGUGAAAAGCGAGGUACAAAAAAAUUGGACUUGGUUGAAGAGCGAGUGUUGUGUUCAUGCACAGAGUGUGUUGGAGUGUGGUCAAGUCUUUUCCACUAGCAAGCAGGCAGGCAUCAUCGGCGAAGAGCUUGGUUAGAAGAUUAGAGCAGUUCGACAAGUCAUUUACAGAGAGUAAAAAAGCCAAAGGCCCGAUAAUUGAACCCUGGACAAUCCCGCACUGAAUGGGCAACAUUGGGGACUUAUGAGAACCUAAUUCAACAAAUUGAAAACGACCACUCAGGUUCAAUAUUAUUUGGUGAACCUCGGAAGGUGUCGUUUGCUCCAGAAAAAAAGAGUGCUGUGAGGGAGCACUCAAGAAAGCUUUGAAAGAUUUCUUGCUAUGUGGAAUAUUGUCAGCAAGUUUCUUUCCUACAGAUGAAAAGAAUUUAUUGAAUUCGGCGGAUAUUCUGGCGGGGUCGGAAACUGUGGCACCAUUUUCAAGCUCCAAUUCAGAGACGAUGGAUUCAUCUUUGGACCUAACUCUAAUAAUGUCAUUGAUAGUUUUCCAAGUGUGCUUCACAUCCCCUCUGUUGUUUUCAAUAAUAUUAUGGUAAUACAUUUGUUUCGAUUUUCUCUGCAAGUGCGUCAAAAUGUUCUUGUAUUUUUGAAGUGGAGACGCUGGGAUGAGUUUCCCUUUAAGAAUUUUUUUCUAAACAUAUUGUUUUUAUGUUUGAUGGACUUACGAAUUCCUUUAGUAAUCCACGGUUUAGAGUAAAGUUUAUUUUCUCUACGCGAAAAUGGUCUUAAUGGAGCAUGCUUAUUAAUCAACCAUUUGAAGUGACUAAGAAAAAGAUCGAAUGAGCUAUUGAAGUUUUCCUCAUGUAUGCUAAUACUAGUAUAAUUGUUACAGAUCGACUCAACCUCCAAUCUGAACAGGUCAGCACAAAAUUUAGUCAUGUCACGUUUCAUGCGAGUGUUUGUCUUUAUAUUGCCAGUAGUUGCUGAUAUUGUGCACAUUACGGGAAAGUGGUCAGUGAGAUCACUGAGCAAAAUAAAUGAUGAAUUGCAGAAAUUGACGGUAUUGGUGUAAAUAUGGUCUAUAAGGGUGUGAGAGGUCGGGGUAACUCUGGUUGGUUUGGUAAUGAGCGGGCAUAUAAAAUUAGUCAUGAGCAUGUCUAAAUACUUGGUAGUGAGAUUGUUAUGAGAAUCAAGAAGAUUUAUAUUGAAAUCACCUAAUAUUAUAAAUUGCUUUUUAGCCAUUGUCAGCUUCUCGAGUAGACAGGACAUUGCUGUGGUGAAUGCUGGAAUAUUAUUUUUGGGAUGCCUAUAUAUUACACCAACAACAAGAUUUUGAAUUUUUGAGGUUGGUUGGAAGUUCUUUGAUUCAAUCCAAAUGUCUUCGCAGUUAGGAAAUCCUAAGCCGAGUUCAGAGCAUGCAUGAUAAUUUAAAUUGCUAUCAAUAUAAAAACCAACACCGCCUGCUCGAGUUGGGGAUGGAGCAUGUAUGAAGGUGUACCCAGGGAUAUUAACAUUCGCAACACUGUCACUUAUGAUCCUGGUCUCGCUUAAGGUGAUGAUUUGAGGUGGAGUACAAAAAUUGGAAAUCAAUUCAACUAAAUUAUCAGAAUAUUUCGGUAAUGAUCUAAUAUUAAGGUGCAAAAUGAUGAACUCUGAAGGUAGAAAAUUGACGUUACCCUGUUGAUAUCAGAUAUUGACUUGGGGUAGAAGAAAUUUCAGGGUGAAA